rnacentral:rRNA from 1 species
GAUGAACGCUGGCGGCGUGCUUAACACAUGCAAGUCGAACGGAAAGGCCCAAGCUUGCUUGGGUUCUCGAGUGGCGAACGGGUGAGUAACACGUGUGUGAUCUGCCCUGCACUUCGUGAUAAGCCUUGGAAACUGGGUCUAAUACCGGAUAGGACCACUUCUAGGACGUGGUGGUGGAAAGAUUGUUCGGUGUGGGAUGAGGUCGCGGCCUAUCAGCUUGUUGAUGGGGUAAUGGACUACCAAGGCGUCGGCGGGAAGCCGGCCAGAGAAGGUGUACGGCGGCAUAGAGUCUGAGGGGAGGCAGAAGCUGCGAAGCGAGGGAGAUGUGGGGAAGAUUGAAGGAGGAACGCAGGGCGGGUGAAGAAGGGCCGCGGGGGGGAUGACGGCGUUCUGAGUGAAGACUACUUUCGCAAGGAACGAUGCAUAUUGUGACGGUACCUGGAGAGAAAGCACCGGCUAACUACGUG